UGCGGGCUGCUGCUGCACCUCUGGAGGACGACUCUGUAUGUGUGUGAGCGCGCGUGUCCUUUGGGAUUUCAGUUCCUCCUCCUGAUCCUCACCUCACUCCCUUCACCUGGUUGUCCCCGCCUCGCUCCUCACCUGCCCUGCUGCUUAUUAGUCUGUGCACUUGUACCAGCCUCUUGCAAAACUGGCCAGUCUUCAGCCUACCGUUUCAGUGUUCCCUAGUUAGUCUUGGCCUGCUUCACCUGUUUCCUGGACCUUCUUCUGCCUAUUGGAUUUUGAUUUGUUUGCCUUUCUCUCAGACUGAUAACCUGGUAUUUUGAUCCAGUCUGCUUAGUUAUGAGUAAACUGAACUUUGCCUUGUA